GCCCCCAUCGUCUAGAGGCCCAGGACAUCUCUCUUUCACGGAGGUGACGGGGAUUCGAAUUCCCCUGGGGGUA
rnacentral:tRNA from 6 species